UCAAAUUUAAGUAUAGCCACAGGCCGGUUUACCUCCAAAAAAUACAGUACAUUGUGUCCAAAUUGUGUCGUAAAAACAGCGCAGCCUCAAGUGUGCCUCAUUUUUAAUAAUCUUAAAUAAUGUGGAUGCAAUUAGGCUGUCGAGCAUUUUUAAAAGGCAAUAAAAAAAGGCUACUAAAGCGAAAAGAUGGCGAAGCUGACUCAAAGCUCCAAAUUUGCGACGAAGAGAUUGACGACAACUUCUCAGCUAACCUUUCAAUGAACGAGCUUAUGCGAAUUAUUUACACUUUGGCAUCGACGAAUAAACGAAAUCGAGUAAUUGUAUCUAAUCAAAAUAAUCAGGAGAAAUUAGAAGUGUGCCACCUGCAAGCACUGGAAACACCCAAAAUACCAAAUUCCCCUUUAAACUACUGCUUAUCAUGUAAACCCCAAUUCAAUUUUGACCAAAAUGUGCAAGAUCUCGGUGUAAAGAUUACCCCGAGCUUAACAAACAGAAUACUCUCUUUUGAUAACUUGCUCCAGUUAAAGACGUUAAGCUUGUCGGAAUCGCUGUCGUGGAAAGUGUAUUUAGAUGGCGCUCUGGCCCCCAUUUCAAGGAUAUACGAAAAUAAUGUUAUGCACUUCGAUAACGCCAUCAACUUGUAUCCUUCAGAGAUGGUCAGUUUUAUGGUGCCGGUUGACAGAAACUAUUUGAAGAUUAAUUGUGAAGAUCAUUUGGAAGCUUUUGUUGUGCCCGCUACAAAUCGAAAAUCCGAAGCGUCUAAGAUUACUUUCAUGAUGUCCGAAGAACUUGUAACUGAAAAACUCAUAGCCCUGGUCCCUCAAAAUGAAAAAAAAUUUUAUUGGAUCAAUAUAGCUCACUUGCUUGUAUUGAUUGCAUGCCUCCGUGGGCUCUUGUAAAUGUAUAAUUUAGAUAAUUACACACCGCUCAGUUUGAAAUUAAAUUUUAUGCUUGGUUUACCAAAAUCUA